rnacentral:rRNA from 1 species
UAGCUAGUUGGUGAGGUAACGGCUUACCAAGGCGACGAUCUGUAGCGGGUCUGAGAGGAUGAUCCGCCACACUGGAACUGAGACACGGUCCAGACUCCUACGGGAGGCAGCAGUGGGGAAUUUUGGACAAUGGGGGCAACCCUGAUCCAGCCAUGCCGCGUGAGUGAAGAAGGCCUUCGGGUUGUAAAGCUCUUUCGGCCGGGAAGAAAUCGCAUGGGCCAAUACCCUGUGUGGAUGACGGUACCGGAAUAAGAAGCACCGGCUAACUACGUGCCAGCAGCCGCGGUAAUACGUAGGGUGCGAGCGUUAAUCGGAAUUACUGGGCGUAAAGCGUGCGCAGGCGGUUUUGUAAGACAGGCGUGAAAUCCCCGGGCUCAACCUGGGAACUGCGUUUGUGACCGCAAGGCUAGAGUACGGCAGAGGGGGGUGGAAUUCCACGUGUAGCAGUGAAAUGCGUAGAGAUGUGGAGGAACACCAAUGGCGAAGGCAGCCCCCUGGGUCGAUACUGACGCUCAUGCACGAAAGCGUGGGUAGCAAACAGGAUUAGAUACCCUGGUAGUCCACGCCCUAAACUAUGUCAACUAGGUGUUGGGUGGGUAAAACCAUUUAGUACCGUAGCUAACGCGUGAAGUUGACCGCCUGGGGAGUACGGCCGCAAGGUUAAAACUCAAAGGAAUUGACGGGGACCCGCACAAGCGGUGGAUGAUGUGGAUUAAUUCGAUGCAACGCGAAAAACCUUACCUACCCUUGACAUGCCAGGAACUUGCCAGAGAUGGCUUGGUGCCCGAAAGGGAGCCUGGACACAGGUGCUGCAUGGCUGUCGUCGGCUCGUGUCGUGAGAUGUUGGGUUAAGUCCCGCAACGAGCGCAACCCUUGUCGUUAAUUGCCAUCAUUUAGUUGGGCACUUUGGCGAGACUGCCGGUGACAAACCGGAGGAAGGUGGGGAUGACGUCAAGUCCUCAUGGCCCUUAUGGGUAGGGCUUCACACGUCAUACAAUGGUCGGUACAGAGGGUCGCCAAGCCGCGAGGUGGAGCCAAUCCCAGAAAGCCGAUCGUAGUCCGGAUUGCAGGCUGCAACUCGCCUGCAUGAAGUCGGAAUCGCUAGUAAUCGUGGAUCAGCAUGUCACAGUGAAUACGUUCCCGGGUCUUGUACACACCGCCCGUCACACCAUGGGAGCGGGUUCCGCCAGAAGUAGGUAGCCUAACCGCAAGGAGGGCGCUUACCACGGCGGGGUUCGUGACUGGGGUGAAGUCGGGACAAGGUAGCCGUAGGGGAACCUGCGGCUG